UCAGUAGAGAUAUGUAGAGAGGGAGAAGGGGACAGAUUGCUAGCCAGCUAGCUUGGAUUCUAACGAUUAUAGAGACGUGGAUAUGUUGCACAGGGGCGGCUUUAUCUCAUAGAACCCCAUAUUGGAUACCUGUUUUUCGCGAAGAGGCCUGGACCGGUCGUUUUUAACUUAACAAUCUGACAUUUUUGCUUUGAUUGUAGCUAACCAUCGCGCGGUGUAGCCACCACAAUACAGCAGCGCCAGCCGGAGUCCGUCUCCUAAACAAGAAUGGGGUCUAGGUCCACAGCACUGCUUAGGUAAAGUGACCUUUGGUUGUGUUCUAUAAAUGGCCAAUUUGAUGAAUUACCAAGAAAACAAAGCCGCUAUGUUGUUGGUGGAGACGCAACAGAGGGGCAUCGGGACAACACCAGCGGCUACGGCAGCCAACGGCUACACCUCAAUUGGGGAACCCCCUUCCCCGUUAUUGAAUAUCUGCGGUGGCAGUGGAGCUCGUUUUCAUCAGCACAUGCCGCCCUCCAACCACCACAGCCACCAUCACUACCCCCAGAGCUCGCUGCCCAAAGAACAACGCCCGCUGUUGCACCACUAUCCGGCGGCGACACAGCAGCAUACUCUCUCUGGUGAAAACAUCCCAGGGUCCCCGGUAAGGAAAGCCUCGUUGUCGUCUUUGAACCUGGUACAUGAGGACCCCUCUGCUAGCCACCACGCACUCGCUGCAUCGGUGAACGCAGCGUCGGCUGCAAUUCAGUUGGCUGCGAAUGCUAACGUUAGCGUCGCUACCUCAGGGGUCAUGGACGACAUUCGGAAGUGUGGCUACCUACGGAAACAGAAGCAUGGACACAAGCGGUUUUUCGUUCUGAGGGUGGCCAGCCACCUAGGCCUCAGCCGGCUGGAGUACUAUGACAGCGAUAAAAAAUUCCGCAGUAGCCUGCGGUCUUCAGCUGCAGCCCCGAAACGGGUGAUCUAUCUGUAUCAGUGCUUCACCGUCAACAAAAGAGCGGAUUCCAAGAACAAACACCUCAUAGCCCUCUACACUAAGGAUGAGUACUUUGCCAUUGUGGCUGAAAACGAGCAGGAGCAAGAGGACUGGUAUGUAGCCCUGAGUGAACUAAUGAGUGAGGGGAAAAAGGGGCAUCUAGACUCUGACGAGUUGGAUGAUGGCUAUGGUACAGUCACACCAGGUACGGUUUUCAAAGAGGUGUGGCAGGUGAAUGUGAAACCCAAAGGUCUGGGUCAGACCAAGAACCUCACAGGUGUGUAUCGUUUAUGCCUCUCUUCUAAAACUAUCCAUCUGGUCAAACUAAACUCUGAGACACCGUAUGUCAACCUCCAGCUAAUGAACAUCAGACGAUGUGGACACUCAGAAAGCUUCUUCUUCAUCGAGGUGGGUCGGUCAUCCUCCAUAGGACCAGGGGAGAUAUGGAUGCAGGUAGAUGACUCUGUCGUGGCUCAGAACAUGCACGAGACCAUCUUAGAGACCAUGAAGGCUCUGAAGGCCUUCGCAGAGAUCCGCCCUAGGAGUAAAAGCCAAUCAUCGGGCUCCAACCCCAUGGCGUUCAUCACCACCCGCCGUCACCUAGGCAACCUGCCGCCGAGCCAGACAGGUCUCCAGCGCCGCUCCCGGACCGAGUCGGCGGUCGGUACGCCACCAUCGAGUAAGAGCUCCGGUGCCAGUGGCUACCGCUUCAGGACAUCAAGUGAAGGUGAAGGGACGAUGAACCGGCCAUUCCGGUCUGUUACCGGCAGCCUGAUCCACCUGAACACUGCCCGGAUACACCUAGGGCGCCAAGAGGGUGGGGGAGGGGCAGGGAACACCGGGGGAGGAGGGCGCUAUGCCAGGGCGCUACCGGGCUCCAAUUGCCACACCCGCUCCGCCUCGCUCCCAGUCUCCCACUUCUCCUCCACCACCUCCCCCGUUAGUGUGUCCAGCAGCAGCGGUCACGGCUCAGUCUCUGACACCCUCACCCGGCCCUCCAGCUCGUCCAUAUGCGGCUCCCCCUCUGACGGCGGCUUCAACUCCUCAGACGAGUACGGCUCAAGCCCCGGAGACUUUCGCUACUUCCGAGUCCGUAGCAACACACCCGAUUCUCUGGGCAACACCCCACCAAUCAGAGAAGAGAACUGCCUGAGUGACUACAUGGCCAUGGGCUGGCACCGCGAGGUGUUUGGAGCGGGCGGCGUGAGUAGCUCUGGUGGUGCCGAGGCCCCCCACCGGGACGAGAGCACGUCGACGGACGAAGACCGGUCUCUGAGGCGGCGGACACACUCGUUCACGCGGCCCGGGAGUCAGGGUGGUGUUGCCGGCGGUAGCAGCUGCGUGGCUGUGUACCAGAAGAUGACCCAGACCACCUUCUCACAGGACGAGUUGGUGUCUGUGGAAGAGGCUCUGUCUCUGGGCCGCACCGGCAGCAGCAACCAACCUUCCUCCACCUCGUCCUCCCUCCGCUCCGACUACAGCUCCUGCUCCGAGCACAGCCAGGGCAGACCCCCUCUUUCCUCCUAUCCCUCGGCCAAGGAGGACAGUGGCUAUAUGCCCAUGUUGUGUGGGGUGGCAGCCUCACCCCGUGACACCCCGGAUUACAUGCCUAUGCAACCUAGCUCCCACUCUCAUCCCCAUCACCACUCUCUCUCACACCCUCCCCAGCCCUCCCACUCCCCCCAGGCCUCUAGCCCAGCCCUGGCCCCACGCUCGGUCCACCAGCUCCAACCCCACCAGCCUACAGACCCCCAGGGCUACAUGAUGAUGCUACCAGGGGGACCGAGCUCCUCUUCUCCAGUCCAGGCCUCCCCAAGUCCCCACAGCAGUAGCAGUAACAUGGGUCUGGGUGUCGGUAGUUCUGGUAGUAUAGUGGAGCGGCCUGAGACUGGAGAGUACAUGGACAUGUCGUACAGCAGUGGAAAAGGAGGGAAUGCAACAGGAGGACGGAAGCUCUCCAACGAAGGAGGAUACUACACACUGAGCAACCCUGAAGGUACCCCUAAAUCAUACAGUCCCUACUUCUCCCUGCCUCGCUCCUACAAGGCCCCUGUCGCCAGAGAUGGUGAACAGAGAAAAUGGGAGCAUGAGGAAUAUGUGCCUAUGAGCUCCCCGGCUAAACCCAUCUACUCCCAGGUCACUGGCGUUACAACAAAGGGUUUCAGUAGUGGGGGGUCAGACGCCCACCACCCCCCGCCCUACGGUGCCCACCACCAAGCAGCUCGAGGUGACCGACGAACGACUGCGGUUCGGCCCAACCGCCUCCCCUUGGGCCGCCACAGCUUCCAUGGGUCGCUGAGGGUUAGUGAGCCAGCUGCUGCCGAGGGACCCUCCAGCCCCGGCGAGUACAUCAACAUCGAGUUUGGGGAUCCCUACGGACCCCUCACAUCCUGCCCUCUCUCUGACCAGUACGUCUCACCCUCGAUGGGCUCUGCCGAGCAGCGUCACUCCCCUCCCCAGAACCAGGACUAUAUGAGUGUAGUGGUUGGAGGUGGGCGUGAUGAUGGUUGCCGCCUGACUAAGAACCAGUCCCCCAGACCCUCUCUGGUGGCCCCAUGGAACCCACCCAGCUACAUUCGACCGCUGACCGCCAAUUCCUCCCUGAGCGGGGCUCUUGGCUCUUCUGGCGCUCACUGGCGGACGGGAACAGAUGACUACACAGAUAUGACCUUUAACCUUAGCAAGGAUGAGGGGUCGCGGGGGUCACAGAGUAGCCCCACAGCUAUGCUGCAGCACCUGUGUGUGAUGGAGGGCCGGUACCCCCCUACCUUACUCCCCCACACCAUCAGCCCUCCCUCAUCCUUCAGCCCCCAGCCUGAGCCCCCCAAAGUGGUACGUGCUGACCCCCAGGGGCGACGCAGACACAGCUCUGAAACCUUCUCCUCCACCCCCGGAGGAGGCAGAACCACAAGCUCCAGCACCGGCACCAAUCCACCCUCGAGCUCAGCCAACCCCUCUGCCAUCAACGGAGCUCUCCUGACCGAGGGCUCCAAGUGGGCCAGCUCUGGCUCCUUUGAUAGCGUGUGGAUGUGUGUGGAGGGGAUAGGGGUAGAUUUGGCUGCCCAGCCAGGGCCCUCUGAUCUGGGCAUGGACUCAGCCUCCUCUGGGGGCCCUCCUGGAGGACAUAUGUGCAGAAAUGUGUCUGUGGGAUAUCAGAACGGCCUCAACUACAUUGCCCUGGAGCUGAGAGAGGACCAGGAAUCUAACACACUCCCCAUACCGCAGCAGCAGGGGGGAACCGGGCCGACCCCCAAUGCCCCCUCAGCUGGUAAUGUGACUGUGCCGGUAGCGGAGAACAACGGCGCCUAUGCCAGUAUAGACUUCACCAAGUCAGACGGGAUGACUGCCACGUUCACGGAAUGAAGCUGGAUGGAGGGAUCUGAUCUGAGAUGGGGUUUCUGUGGUGUACCCCUCUAACUAAAUCCCUCCACCGCCACCCUUCAACCUCGACCCCAAGGUGGCUCAAGGUCACGCCCCCUUUGAACCACAACACCAUGAAGACGGCAGAAGAUGAAGACGGAAGGCGCUCGCAUUUGAGUCUUUUUACACAUAUAUAUAUAUAUAUAUAUCUUCUUUUUUUGUGUGUGUCGGUGGCUGGUUUUGAGGCUGCUCUCUCGUCGUUAAAGGACUUUAGAUAUAAAAACAUUAUUUCUGAUCUACAGCACAAAAAGGGAGCUUUGCUCAAACAUGGUAUCGCUGUAAGUUAAUAAUAAUAGCCAAAUAAUAAUACAACUCUUAGACUGGGUUGAGACUGGUCAGUAGAGUUUACUCUAAAGUAUUACUCUUAUCUUAGAGUUUACUCAUCUUCUCACUGAGAAACUGCUACAUGUAUUUAAAGCCACAUAGUGCAUUUGUUAUCCUGACAUGGUUUAUUUAGUAUUUUUCUAUUCGCAGAAAAGGGUACUGGACUCGACGAUAGUCCCAAUGUUUUCCAUAAAAGACGCAAGUACUUUAUUUCCACUCAAGGGCCUUAUUAGCACAGGUCUGGCUCACAGAUGUAUGGAGAUAUAUACACAUACACAUACACACUUUCACUUGUCUGUGCUCUUUAGGCUACAGUCAGGGCCGUAACCAAGGUUUUUGUGAGGUCUGGAUUUUCUUUGAGGGGGUGGGCAUUGAAGCUCAUUUACUGCAUUUCUGUACAAUUCAAAAAAAGCUAUUUGUAGAACAGCAAAACAAGCAAAAAUGACCACCGCCAUUAUCACCUUGGCUGCUGUAGGUUCAUUCAUGCACCUCAGUCGAUCUACAAACGAAUAUUAGCUAUACAAUUGUAAUGUUAUAUCCCUGAAAAGGGGGGGUGAAAUAGGAGCAAUGAUUCAAACUGACACAUAGCAUCGGCGACUAAGUCAGUUGUAAUGAUGAAUUGCAGAAAAUCACAUUUUUACUUCUCUUUUCUCAAAUUACAUAGCAUUAACGUUUGUAUCCCUAGGCAUUACUAAUCGAGCUCUGCACAAACACAUCAAAGGAGCACACAGAUCGUAUUAUCACAUGCACAUGAAUUAUUAGAAUAUUAUGAUUCUGUAUUGAUAUCAGUGAUGUAAUGGGUAAACUAUAAACUCCAGGGGUAAACAGUUACCAAUAUAAAUGAAAACAAAACGUAUGUCAUUUUUAGUGUACUGUAAUGUUUGCAUUUUGAUUCGAAUGUAACGUCUGCCUAGGCCUAUAGGGAAGAUGUUCAUAUUGAAACAUAUAUAUUUUAAGUUCCUAACCUAUUUAAAAGAUUAGUACAGAUUUUCUCAGGGGGGCCCAGACCCAAGUUUGGGAACCACUCCUUCUCUGCUUCCAUUGCAGCCUGCCUCAACCUUAACACUUGAGUGCCACAUCACUGUCUGUUUCAGUAGCCUACUCUCUGUAAAGCAAAGUUAUUGUGAGAUCUUAACCUAUUUUUGUUUUUUUGCUCCUGUUGAGGUCGGCUUCGUUUAACAUUAGCUUCAUCCUUCUAGCUGGCCCUCGGCCUGUGCCACAAGAGGGCACAGUUAGCCGUUUGAGAGCGUGGUGAAUGUGCUGCUAAAAAGGAAAAUCCGGGGAGGCAAAUCCAGGGGACGCAGGCGAACAUAGCGAACAAACCACUGUUCCUGAUUCCACUCGUUCGCAAAGAAGCUGGCGUGAUUUAAAAACAGCCAGAUCAAGAAUGUAAGUGUUUUGAGCUUUGAUCAAUGCUGAAAGCAAUAUUCAGAUGUUGACCCAUAAUAGAUUAUUUUUAAUAGAAAGAAAAUGAGAAUACCGGACCGCUGUGUCCUCAUGCAGUUACGGCCCUGGUUACAGUGACUGACCACACACACACACACGAUGCCCCCUGUUGCAGUGACUGACCACACACACACGAUGCCCCCUGUUGCAGUGACUGACCACACACACACGAUGCCCCCUGUUGCAGUGACUCCUCUAAUACAACAGUGCAACAUACACACACACUCUGCCAGCCCCUAACUUCCCUGGUUACGCACCGCUGGACCCCUCCCAUUGCCAAGCAUGUAGGCUGGCUGUAGUGAGGGAGAGAUCGCAGGGGAGUGAGGGUCUAUUCUCGGCCUAAACUGGGAUCCACAAGAACCAGUUCAGAGAGGUUUUCAGGAUAUGACAGUAAGGCACAAGUAAGGUCAAAUACGUUGUCUAAUAUGUUGCUUGGAAUCCGUGUGCCAUUUAACAGAGGAGUGAUCAAUUUACCAUCCUAACUGAAAGACUGCUGUAGGUUUUCCUCUUUUAAUUUUCUUUCAUUUCAGUAUUUUGACUCGUGUGCCAUGUCUUUAAAAAAAAUAUAUAUAUAUCCCUAAAAAAAAUGUACCCUCCUGUCUCCCUUCUGAAAGGCUGGAAGCAGUGAGUUCUGCUAGAGUACUGUUGUGUAUUUUUCUGUGCAAUCUCUGUCAGCCUUUUAUAUAGUUAACCCUCUCUAUGGGUGUAGGUGGGGGGGGCAGAGGGAGAUGAUGUUAGUGGCACUAUCGAUUGCGUGACUGGAGUGUUCAUUUUAUUCGCUCGCCUGACUAUUCCCCCUCUUUCCCUUCCCUCUUUUUCUAGAUCCCUUAGUCAUUUGAUAUGAUGACUGAACCAAAAUGUCAGUGAGAAGAAAAGAAAAGAGCUUGAUGCUUGUUAGGAAAGGGGGGGGGGGGUUAGAAGGGCUCAAAAGUAUCAUGGUACGUCUCGUCGUGUGUUAACUAAUGUAUGAAGAUGAUUAUGAUAUAUUUGUUGGUGCAGAAUAAUGGACUGUGGAAAAGGUUGACACCCACCCGAGCAAGAAAAGAAAAAAAGAACUUUCAACAACCCGUCAGAUCCCAUUUGGUACAACCAAUGUCUUAUAUGGUACUGUUGCGGUGCACAGAGCCUGCUGUUACUGUAAGUUAUGGAAAAUGAACCGUUACUAUACCUACCCAAGGCUGAAACCAUCGAACUAGAAUCCUCAUUCUAAUUCUGUGGUUGGAACACGUUUUAAAGGCUGUACUAUGAUUUAUUUAUUUUUUUGGGUUACGCUGCAGCGCUUUUCAGCUAUUAGAUUUGAACAAUACAAAAGCUUUAUUUGGCAAGACUUUCUGUGAUUUAAGAAGUCUUACUUAAUUAAAUAAAUAAAAAAUAGGCUUGAUUAUCAAUACUCAUAUCAGCCUUGUUCAGUUCUGUACUAUUUGGUGGAUGAUGAUUCUACUUUGUUCUGUUGAUAUAUUCUAGGCCAAUAUGGUCCGGUCCCACACUUCUUACUCUCGAUGUAUUGGACAUGCAUUCUCAGUAGUGUGCUACUAGUGUGCAUACUAAGUAGUAUGCUAGUGUGGAUGUUGGAACAGCUGUAGAGUUGAGUAAACAAUUACAAACCCUUUUUAGGAAAUAAUGGGGGAAAUUCUAAGAACUACAUAAUAUAUUACAGAGGAACUACACGGUACUGCAUAAAUGUGCAACAGUAUUUUUAUUUUUGUUUAUCUACUUCAUAGAAAGAGCAGAAGUUAAAUCUCCAUAGUUUUUUGGGUGUUGUGUUGAUACUUUUGAUUGAACACUUAAAGACGGGGUUUAAAAUCAUUUUUAAGCUAAACGGAGACAGUGGGAUAAACUUGUUUUCAAGAGUAUGACGAUGUAGACACUUAGCAGUUUUGUAAAAAAAAAACAGAAAAAUAAAAAAUUACCUCUGCCUGAUGUUUUUGUAACUUACUAUUUUAUUUGCUGCUGUGUAGUAUUACAAAAUAACCAGUUUGAAUGCUGUUGAUCUGAUGGCAACCAUGACGAUGUCAUUUUCAUUGCUACCUGUGUUUUCUUUCAGAAUUUAAUGGCAUUGUCAUUUAGCUUUUAUGGAACAGACAGUUCUUCAUACGGUGGAGGUGUUAAUCCUCAUAUGUGCAUUAUAUUUCUCUGCAACGUAUGUCCUUAAGGGGGGAAAAAGGUGUUAAAACAAAAAAGAGAAAUUAUUUAAAUAUGAUAGUAUUUUUUUCAUGUUAAUUGCGCCUCCUUUUUUUUCUCUCUCACUUCAGGGGAGAUUGAGUGAAGUCCUAGUGGAGGAAUUUGGAGCAUAGUGUUUAUAUUUAUCCAACUUUUUUGCUUUCAAUAGAGCUAUUGCAAUAAAAGUGUUAAUGUACAUCUUA